CGUUCACAUUCUUUUAGCCAAGAUAACUUUCUUUUCUAGUUCUGAUGCAGCGGUUAAGUUAUCAGUUUUAAUGGAAAGGUGUCGAAGAUGGUGUGCAUGUAAAUGGUAGUGAUUUAGCGCUCCUCCCGAGUUAGAGAGAGAGCAUUGCUGACCGCACUGACAAACGUCACCGCUUGAGUGGACGAGCCCCAGUUGACGUCUGAAGAGGACCGUAAUGGAAGGAUUUCAAUGGCAUAAGUGAGCAGUGCGGCCCACCAGUUGAUGACAAACAUGACGGCGCAGCACAGAACAGCACCCAGGAGGGACAACCACAUGUUGUAGUACCUGUAUGCUGGUCUCCAACCUGGGGAAAUUAGUGAGCAACACUGACUCACCCCAGCCGGCCUGUCCGAACACCCAGGACAGGCGGAUGAACAACAUGACACCCCAAAUGUUCAGCAUGCAUCUCACCUGUGGACAAAAGGUCAUGACUGAGGGAC